rnacentral:rRNA from 1 species
UACAGAGGUCUCAAGCGUUGUUCGGAUUCAUUGGGCGUAAAGGGUGCGUAGGCGGCGCGGUAAGUCGGGUGUGAAAUCUCGGAGCUUAACUCCGAAACUGCAUUCGAUACUGCCGUGCUUGAGGACUGGAGAGGAGACUGGAAUUUACGGUGUAGCGGUGAAAUGCGUAGAUAUCGUAAGGAAGACCAAUGGCGAAGGCAGCUCGCUGGGACGUUACUGACGCUGAGACGCGAAAGCGUGGGGAGCAAACAGG